UACGUAGGGUCCGAGCGUUGUCCGGAAUUAUUGGGCGUAAAGGGCUCGUAGGCGGUUCGUCACGUCGGGAGUGAAAACUCGGAGCUUAACUCCGAGCCUGCUUCCGAUACGGGCAGACUAGAGGUAGGCAGGGGAGAGCGGAACUCCUGGUGUAGCGGUGGAAUGCGCAGAUAUCAGGAAGAACACCGGUGGCGAAGGCGGCUCUCUGGGCCGUAACUGACGCUGAGGAGCGAAAGCAUGGGUAGCGAACAGG
rnacentral:rRNA from 1 species